GAUGAAGAACGUAGCGAAAUGCGAUAAGUAAUGUGAAUUGCAGAAUUCAGUGAAUCAUCGAAUCUUUGAACGCACAUUGCGCCCUUUGGUAUUCCAAAGGGCAUGCCUGUUCGAGCGUCAUUUGUACCUUCAAGCUUUGCUUGGUGUUGGGCGUUUUUUGUCUCCCUCUUUCUGGGAGACUCGCCUUAAAACGAUUGGCAGCCGGCCUACUGGUUUCGGAGCGCAGCACAUAUUUUGCGCUUUGUAUCAGGAGAAAAGGACGGUAAUCCAUCAAGACUUCUACAUUUUUAACUUUUGACCUCGGAUCAGGUAGGGAUACCCGCUGAACUUAAGCAUAUCAAUAAGCGGAGGA
rnacentral:misc_RNA from 1 species